rnacentral:rRNA from 1 species
UGACCUACGGGAGGCAGCAGUGAGGAAUAUUGGUCAAUGGGCGAGAGCCUGAACCAGCCAAGUCGCGUGAGGGAAGACUGCCCUAUGGGUUGUAAACCUCUUUUGUCAGGGAGCAUCGCCGGCUACGUGUAGCCGGACUGAGAGUACCUGAAGAAAAAGCAUCGGCUAACUCCGUGCCAGCAGCCGCGGUAAUACGGAGGAUGCGAGCGUUAUCCGGAUUUAUUGGGUUUAAAGGGUGCGUAGGCGGAAUGCCAAGUCAGCGGUAAAAUCGCGGGGCUCAACCUCGCUCCGCCGUUGAAACUGGG